rnacentral:rRNA from 1 species
GAUGAACGCUGGCGGCGUGCCUAAUACAUGCAGGUCGAGCGAACGGACGAGAAGCUUGCUUCUCUGAUGUUAGCGGCGGACGGGUGAGUAACACGUGGAUAACCUACCUAUAAGACUGGGAUAACUUCGGGAAACCGGAGCUAAUACCGGAUGAUAUUUUGAACCGCAUGGUUCAAAAGUGAAAGACGGUCUUGCUGUCACUUAUAGAUGGAUCCGCGCUGCAUUAGCUAGUUGGUAAGGUAACGGCUUACCAAGGCAACGAUGCAUAGCCGACCUGAGAGGGUGAUCGGCCACACUGGAACUGAGACACGGUCCAGACUCCUACGGGAGGCAGCAGUAGGGAAUCUUCCGCAAAGGGCGAAAGCCUGACGGAGCAACGCCGCGUGAGUGAUGAAGGUCUUCGGAUCGUAAAACUCUGUUAUUAGGGAAGAACAUAUGUGUAAGUAACUGUGCACAUCUUGACGGUACCUAAUCAGAAAGCCACGGCUAACUACGUG